GACGAACCGUGCGAACGUUAUUCGGAAUUACUGGGCUUAAAGCGCGUGUAGGCGGGCCGGCACGUCCGACGCUGAAAUCCCCCGGCUCAACCGGGAAAGUGGCGGGGAUACGACCGGCCUCGAGGGGGGUAGGGGGACCUGGAACUUCCGGUGGAGCGGUGAAAUGCGUUGAGAUCGGAAGGAACGCCCGUGGCGAAAGCGAGGUCCUGGACCCUUUCUGACGCUGAGACGCGAAAGCCAGGGGAGCGAACGGG
rnacentral:rRNA from 1 species